UAAUUUUGUAACCUAAAGAGAACCUUCCCAGAACGUUCCCUGCAGGUUAUUUAUAGGUUUAAUUUAAUAACCUAAAGCUCUCUGUGAAAGUCCAGGUUUACAGUUGAAUAUUCAACGACAAUAUGUUAUUUGAAAUAAUCAAUAGGCUACUGCUUUCAUAUUCUAUUUACAAAGCACUUUCAGGACAUCUUUAUUGUAUGUACAUAUGUAUACGUGCUGCUUGAUUUUGACGUGGUUUAUUAUCAAUGCCGUGCACGUGAACUUUCGAGUCUCUCAAACACUGGAGCGGCCGGCGCGCAGAGUUGCCAUGGAAACGGCGCGGGACCACUGCUACUGGUAAACAACAAAACUCCCUCUCGUCUCGCUGUUGUUUCAACUUUUCACGGCUUUUUUCAGUAGUAACGAAAUAACCCAUAACAGAGAGAAAGCUCCACUAAGUUACUUCAACAUUUCUGAAGAAAGCUGCUGCGGGAGAAGUAACGUUAGGACACAGCCAGAACAAGUUUGUGACUGACUUAAUGAAGCCAGUUUGGAUCAUGCUCAGAG